rnacentral:rRNA from 1 species
GACGAACGCUGGCGGCGUGCUUAACACAUGCAAGUCGAGCGGUAAGGCCCUUUCGGGGGUACACGAGCGGCGAACGGGUGAGUAACACGUGGGUGACCUGCCCUUAGCUCUGGGAUAAGCCUGGGAAACUGGGUCUAAUACCGGAUAUGACUCCAUAACGCAUGUUGUGGGGUGGAAAGCCUUGUGCGGCUAGGGAUGGGCCCGCGGCCUAUCAGCUUGUUGGUGGGGUGAUGGCCUACCAAGGCGACGACGGGUAGCCGGCC